rnacentral:rRNA from 1 species
CCUACGGGUGGCAGCAGUGGGGAAUAUUGGGCAAUGGAGGCAAUUCUGACCCAGCAACGCCGCGUGAAUGAUGAAGGUCUUCGGAUUGUAAAGUUCUGUGAUUGGGGAUGAAAACAAUGACAGUCCCCCACUAUCACGCCACUGCUAACUACGUGACAGCAGCCGCGGUACUACGGAGGUGGCAAGCGUUAUCCGGACUGACUGGGCGUAAAGGGUGCGUAGGUGGUUUAGUACGUUCGCGGUGUAAUUCCGGGGCUCAACCUCGGCGCUACCGCUAAAACUGUUAGACUAGAGUGAAGGAGGGGUAAGUGGAAUUCCGAGUGUAGCGGUGGAAUGCGUAGAUAUUAGGAGGAACAUCAGGUGCGAAGGCGACUUACUGGACUGUAACUGACACUGAGGCACGAAAGCGUGGGGAGCAAACAGGAUUAGAUACCCCUGUAGUC